GAGUUGUGGCUACAACACUGCUGGUGUAAGAGUCGUGGCUACAACACUGCUGGUGUAAGAGUCGUGGCUACAACACUGCUGGUGUAAGAGUCGUGGCUACAACACUGCGGGUUUGUAAGAGUCGUGGCUACAACACUGCUGGUGUAAGAGUCGUGGCUACAACACUGCUGGUGUAAGAGUCGUGGCUACAAUACUGCUGAGGUAACAUCCUUAUCUUCGUCUCUAUCAGGAUCUCUGGCAGAGAACUUGGUAACUAAGAUGAGGUUGGAAGUGUGUAUUGUGGCAGUGAUGGCAGCAAUGGUAGGCAGCAGGUCGACGACAGGAGGCAGCAGAGAAGAGAGAUACUUCUUUACUAAUCUUAAGAACCCAAUUAAGUUCUGCUUAUUACUUAACAUGCCACUAUCUCUGGCACUGCCGACACUGGCACCUGUCAACGGACGGUCCUUACAGCUAAGCAGCGUCGUGGUAGACAAGACAGUUCCUGAGGACCUCUCUUGGGACCCUUCUUACGAACACUCCUUGAGUCGUCUCUCUCUCUACUUCGACCAGCU